AUACUCCAUCCAUCCUAUUUUAAGUGCAACCAUGAGUUUCUGUGUUCAACUUUGAUCAUCCGUCUUAUUUGAAUUUUUUAAAUUAAUAUGUUUAUUGUUAUUAGAUGAUAAAACAUGAAUAGUACCUUAUGUGUGACAUGUUUUUUUAAUUUUUUUUUAAAAAAUCAAAUAAGACGAAUGUUUAAAGUUAGACACGAAAACUUAUGGCUGCACUUAAAAUGGGACAGAGGGAGUACCUAA
rnacentral:pre_miRNA from 1 species